GAGCGGCUCAACCAGGCAACCACGAGGAUGAUCACCAUGAGUGUGAGUGACCUCGUGGUGAUCAUCGUCUGCGCCAUUCUCGUGGUUGCGUUGGCCGUGGUUAUUGGUAUAAUUCUGGGUCGCCGACUAAAAUGAGGUGAGUCGUUGCAAUGGUAAGCCCCGUCGCCUUGUUCCUGAACUGGGGACUUCAUACAUAAGUAAAAGCCGCCACUGGCUGUUUGGUGUUCUAUACGUUCACUGGACGAUACGCUAGAAAUUAAUGACAAUGUGAGCGCA